rnacentral:rRNA from 1 species
GGAACCUCUUCCAACUCAGAACUUGUCAACUGCGUAAGACUGGAAUGGGGGGCAGUGCGUAAGGUGCUGUUCCGAGACCCGAACAAGGGAGACUGGAGUUAAGGUCCCAAAAUGUAUGCUAAGUGUAACAAACUUAGUUGAAAACCUAAGACAGCGAGGAUGUAGGCUCAGAAGCAGCCAUCAUUUAAAGAAAGCGUAACAGCUCACUUGUUGAGGUUUUUGGCGAGGAAAAUGGACGGGGCUAAACAUACUACCGAUACUCUGGCGGCUCUCGAAAGAGAGUUCGGGUAAGCAGGCGUGGAUUCUGCGCAGAAGUUUUCUCGAAAGAGUGGAUGGAGCGGGAUCCAAUGAGAAUCUUGGUGGUAGUAAGAUCAGAUUGCUCUGAGAAUGAGCAGCGCCGUAAGAGCAAGGUUUCCUUGGCACUAUCGUUUAACCAAGGGUUAGUCGGCGCCUAAGCUAUAUCUUAACUGCGUAUAGCGAAUGGACAUCCGGUUAAUAUUCCGGAACUGACUAAGUUCUGUACGUAAUUUGCUUCGGGAUAGGCAGGUACUCGGAAGGGUGCCUCGUUGCAGAAGACUGUGGAUCGUAAUGAUAAGAAGCAGUCGAAUGUAAAGGGAGAAAUCUGUUGAUUCCUGGGGUCCAUGAAAAGUUGCGUAUGUAAAACUUAGUUAGCCGUACCCAGAACCGACACUGGUGCUCUGGCUGAGAAGGCUAAGGCGUGAAAGGAUAACCUGACUUAGGGAACUCGGCAAUCUAGCCCCGUAUCUUCGGUAUAAGGGGUGUCUAUGAACGUCUUUGAAUUAAAGGGCGUUUGUAGAUCGCAGUGACAAGGACUGCCCGACUGUUUAACAAAAACGUAGCUGGUUGCAAAUCCAAAAGGACUAGUAUAACCGGUGAGACCUGCCCAGUAGUGGUGUUUCAAACCCUAGUUCAAUAGGGCUAAGACCCAUCAAACGGCGGGCCUAACUAUGAGGCUUGAGCUUGUGGUGAAAAUCCACUAAGCUUAAUUAUGUUAAAUAGAUUAAACCAAAAUAGAGGGCCUCAAUAAAUUCAGCUAUAUGCUGGAAUAGCAUGAUGAAAUCAUGAUAGGAAGUUAUCGUCGUGAGAUGAUAAUGAUUACUGAAAAUUUAUGAUGAAGUGCCAAUCAGCAGGAAAGACUUCUUAAGAUUUAAGAAGAAUCCUCAGAGACUAUACGCUGAACACAGAUUAGAAGUAAUUUGUGAUGAUAUAGUCCAACAAAUAAUUUUAUUUGUGCUUAAGGUAGCGUAAUGCCUUGUCGUCUGAAUGGCGACGUGCAUGAAUGGUUUAACGAGGUAGUCGCUGUCCCAAGUCAGAACCUUCUGAACACACUUGAUGGUGAACAUGCCAUCGUCGCCUAGUGGGAAGUGAAGACCUUGUGGACCUUUACUGCAACUUGUUGUUGUGAUGCCGAGGGAAGUGCAUAGAAUAAGUAGGAGCAUCGAAGCCAUUCCUCCGGGAAUGGUGGAGCAAAAGUGUAAUACUACUCAUUUUUCUUGACAUUGCUCACUCGAGAGAGGACAGCAGCAGGCGGGCAGUUUGGCUGGGGUGGCACCCUGCAGAAAAGAUAUCUGUAGGGCCUAACGACAAGCUCAUCCAGGUUGGAAAUCUGGAGUGGAGUGCGAGGGCAAAAGCUUGUCUGACUGUAUCUUGCACAGCAAGGGAUGCAGGAGUGAAAGCUGGGCCUAGCGACCCCACAUGCUCUUUUAAUAGGAGCUGUGUGUGACAGAAAAGGUACCCCAAGGAUAAUUGGCUGGUCGCCCCCGAUAGUCCAUAUUGACGGGGCGGUUUGGUGCGUCGCUGUCGGCUCUUCCUAUCCUGGUAGUGCACAAGCUACCAAGGGUGUCGGAGUUCACGCGUUAAAAGGGAUCGUUAGCUGGGUUAAG